rnacentral:rRNA from 1 species
UACGAAGGGGGCUAGCGUUGCUCGGAAUCACUGGGCGUAAAGCGCACGUAGGCGGAUCUUUAAGUCAGGGGUGAAAUCCUGGAGCUCAACUCCAGAACUGCCUUUGAUACUGGGGAUCUCGAGUCCGGAAGAGGUGAGUGGAACUCCGAGUGUAGAGGUGAAAUUCGUAGAUAUUCGGAAGAACACCAGUGGCGAAGGCGGCUCACUGGUCCGGUACUGACGCUGAGGUGCGGAAAGCGUGGGGAGCAAACAGGG